rnacentral:rRNA from 1 species
AUGAAGCUAGACAUAGCGAAGGCCUUCGACACCGUGUCCUGGGAGUAUCUCCUCGAAUUGAUUCAGAAGCUAGGAUUUAGCGCGCGCUGGAGGGACUGGGUCGUGCGUCUUCUCAUCACUGCCUCAUCUUCGGUCUCCCUCAACGGGACGGCAGGCCCAAGGAUCCUUCAUUUGCAAGGAUUGCGUCAGGGCGACCCGCUGUCCCCCUUCCUCUUCAUCUUAGCUAUUGACCCACUGCAUCGCCUCAUCGCCGCGGCUGUGGAUCAGCAGCUUCUGCACCGUCUCCCUGGACGUGACCUUGCGCUACGGGUGAGCCUUUACGCCGACAAUGCAGCCAUCUUCUUAAACCCUAGC